rnacentral:rRNA from 1 species
UAGGGAAUCUUGCGCAAUGGGCGAAAGCCUGACGCAGCCAUGCCGCGUGAAUGAUGAAGGUCUUAAGAUUGUAAAAUUCUUUCACCGGGGAAGAUAAUGACGGUACCCGGAGAAGAAGCCCCGGCUAACUUCGUGCCAGCAGCCGCGGUAAUACGAAGGGGGCUAGCGUUGCUCGGAAUUACUGGGCGUAAAGGGCGCGUAGGCGGAUAUUUAAGUUGGGGGUGAAAGCCCGGGGCUCAACCUCGGAAUAGCCUUCAAUACUGGAUAUCUUGAGUUCGGGAGAGGCGAGUGGAAUGCCGAGUGUAGAGGUGAAAUUCGUAGAUAUUCGGCGGAACACCAGUGGCGAAGGCGACUCACUGGCCCGAUACUGACGCUGAGGCGCGAAAGCGUGGGGAGCAAACAGGAUUAGAUACCCUGGUAGUCCACGCCGUAAACGAUGAGUGCUAGUUGUCGGCAUGCGUGCAUGUCGGUGACGCAGCUAACGCAUUAAGCACUCCGCCUGGGGAGUACGGUCGCAAGAUUAAAAACUUAAAUGAAUUGACGGGGGUCAUAGCUGUUUCCUG